rnacentral:rRNA from 1 species
UUGCUUCUUUGCUGACGAGUGGCGGACGGGUGAGUAAUGUCUGGGAAACUGCCUGAUGGAGGGGGAUAACUACUGGAAACGGUAGCUAAUACCGCAUAACGUCGCAAGACCAAAGAGGGGGACCUUCGGGCCUCUUGCCAUCGGAUGUGCCCAGAUGGGAUUAGCUAGUAGGUGGGGUAACGGCUCACCUAGGCGACGAUCCCUAGCUGGUCUGAGAGGAUGACCAGCCACACUGGAACUGAGACACGGUCCAGACUCCUACGGGAGGCAGCAGUGGGGAAUAUUGCACAAUGGGCGCAAGCCUGAUGCAGCCAUGCCGCGUGUAUGAAGAAGGCCUUCGGGUUGUAAAGUACUUUCAGCGGGGAGGAAGGGAGUAAAGUUAAUACCUUUGCUCAUUGACGUUACCCGCAGAAGAAGCACCGGCUAACUCCGUGCCAGCAGCCGCGGUAAUACGGAGGGUGCAAGCGUUAAUCGGAAUUACUGGGCGUAAAGCGCACGCAGGCGGUUUGUUAAGUCAGAUGUGAAAUCCCCGGGCUCAACCUGGGAACUGCAUCUGAUACUGGCAAGCUUGAGUCUCGUAGAGGGGGGUAGAAUUCCAGGUGUAGCGGUGAAAUGCGUAGAGAUCUGGAGGAAUACCGGUGGCGAAGGCGGCCCCCUGGACGAAGACUGACGCUCAGGUGCGAAAGCGUGGGGAGCA